rnacentral:rRNA from 1 species
GGACCAAGGAGUCUAGCAUGUGCGCAAGUCAUUGGGAUACUUGUUAAAACCUAAAGGCACAAUGAAAGUAAAUAUUUUUGUGAUUUAUCACUUAAAUAUAGGGAAGAUGGGUAACGAUUUAUAUGUUACCCCGCAUUCCCGGGGCGUCGCGUACUCAUUGCGAGUUGCGGCGCACCAAGAGCGUACACGCUGGGACCC